rnacentral:tRNA from 1 species
UCUAUGGCUGAACUGGUAAAGGCAUUGCCGAUCACAUGCAAGGUUGCGGGUUCGAGUCCCGCUGGA